UACGUAGGGUGCAAGCGUUGUCCGGAAUUAUUGGGCGUAAAGGGCUCGUAGGCGGUCUGUCGCGUCGGUAGUGAAAACUCAGGGCUUAACCCUGAGCCUGCUUCCGAUACGGGCAGACUAGAGGUAUGCAGGGGAGAAUGGAAUUCCUGGUGUAGCGGUGAAAUGCGCAGAUAUCAGGAGGAACACCAGUGGCGAAGGCGGUUCUCUGGGCAUUACCUGACGCUGAGGAGCGAAAGUGUGGGGAGCGAGCAGG
rnacentral:rRNA from 1 species